AACAUUUUUGUGCUCUACUAAAAGUAUUGCAGACCUUAGGCACUGCGCCCCUAGGCCUAAUAUGUAGGCCAGAGGUGGCUUAAAAAUUCCAGGCCCUCCCUGAGCCACAUGCUCUGCCUUCUCUCCCUAUUGUUUUUUGCUGUUGUGUUUUAGUUUUCAGAAAUGAUGACUAAUCCCAACCAUGUCAUAAAUUUAAAACAUGCAAGACAUGAGUCAGGACAGGAUGAUAUCAAAAUCCUUAUUUAUUCUGGGUUUUAGUCUAAUCUCAUUGGGUUCCACACGCAUCAUUGUUUUUCUUGAAUAUUAGCAAGGUAGGGAAAGAUGAAAAUAGCUCCGUUGAUCUCUCAACCUGAGCACACCCUGGGGGAAGACACUUAAGCCCUUGGUGAGCGCAAGUGAAAAUUUUGUUCUUGCUGAAAACUACAUGGACGAAUCCUUAGGUAAGUUUUCCUAAAACAUCCUGUCAGGAAAAGCCAGUUUUGUGUUUGUGAAAAUGCCAAGUCUGCAAGCAUCAAUAUGUU
rnacentral:lncRNA from 1 species